UCGUUAGCUCAGCUGGUAGAGCAGCGGACUCUUAAUCCGACGGUCGUAGGUUCGAUCCCUACACGG
rnacentral:tRNA from 1 species